rnacentral:rRNA from 1 species
UACGGAGGGUGCGAGCGUUAUCCGGAAUUACUGGGUUUAAAGGGUGCGUAGGCGGCUAUGUAAGUCAGGAGUGAAAGUUUGCGGCUCAACCGUAAAAUUGCUUUUGAUACUGCAUGGCUAGAAUUAGGAUGAGGUCAGCGGAAUGUGGCAUGUAGCGGUGAAAUGCAUAGAUAUGCCAUAGAACACCAAUUGCGAAGGCAGCUGGCUAGACCUGUAUUGACGCUGAGGCACGAAAGCGUGGGGAGCGAACAGG